GGCAGUUCCAUAGCUCAGUCAAUAGAGCAUAAGACUUAAUCUCAGGGUUGUGGGUUUGAGCCCCACAUUGGGCCA